GACGAACGCUGGCGGCGUGCUUAACACAUGCAAGUCGAACGAAGUGGCGAACGGGUGAGUAACGCGUAAUCAACCUGCCCUUCGGGGGGGGACAACAGUUGGAAACGACUGCUAAUACCGCAUACUGAAGGAGGGGAUUGCGGCUGAUUAGCUCGUUGGGGGGGUAACGGCCCAACAAGGCGAUGAUCAGUAGCCGGUCUGGGAGGAUGAACGGCCACAAUGGGACUGAGGAACGGCCCAGACUCCUACGGGAGGCAGCAGUGGGGAAUCUUCCGCAAUUGACGGAAGUCUGACGGAGCAACGCCGCGUGGGUGAUGACGGCCUUCGGGUUGUAAAGCUCUGUUAAUCGGGACGCGGUACCGGAAUAGAAAGCAACGGCUAACUACGUGCCAGCAGCCGCGGUAAUUC
rnacentral:rRNA from 1 species